rnacentral:piRNA from 1 species
GGGUCCAAAUGGUGAAUGCUCAUCCUGCCU